GACGAACGCUGGCGGCGUGCUUAACACAUGCAAGUCGAACGGUGAAGGGACCGGUUUUUGCUGGUUCUGGAUGAGUGGCGAACGGGUGAGUAACACGUGAGUAACCUGCCCCCUUCUUCUGGAUAACCGCAUGAAAGUGUGGCUAAUACUGGAUAUUCUGCGCCUGCUGCAUGGUGGGUGUGGGAAAGAUAUUGUUUCGGUGGGGGAUGGGCUCGCGGCCUAUCAGCUUGUUGGUGGGGUGAUGGCCUACCAAGGCGGUGACGGGUAGCCGGCCUGAGAGGGUGGACGGUCACACUGGGACUGAGACACGGCCCAGACUCCUACGGGAGGCAGCAGUGGGGAAUAUUGCACAAUGGGCGAAAGCCUGAUGCAGCGACGCCGCGUGAGGGAUGGAGGCCUUCGGGUUGUAAACCUCUUUCGCCAGUGAAGCAGGCCUGUCCCUUUUGUGGGUGGGUUGACGGUAGCUGGAGAAGAAGCGCCGGCUAACUACGUG
rnacentral:rRNA from 1 species